rnacentral:rRNA from 1 species
CACGUAGGCACCAAGCGUUGUCCGGAUUUAUUGGGCGUAAAGAGCUCGUAGGCGGUUCAGUAAGUCGGGUGUGAAAACUCAGGGCUCAACCCUGAGCUGCCACCCGAUACUGCUGUGACUUGAGUCCGGUAGGGGAGUGGGGAAUUCCUGGUGUAGCGGUGAAAUGCGCAGAUAUCAGGAGGAACACCGGUGGCGAAGGCGCCACUCUGGGCCGAGACUGACGCUGAGGAGCGAAAGCAUGGGUAGCAAA